rnacentral:rRNA from 1 species
CUACGGGUCGCUGCAGUGAGGAAUUUUGCGCAAUGGGGGAAACCCUGACGCAGCAACGCCGCGUGAGUGAUGAAGGCCUUCGGGUCGUAAAGCUCUGUCAAGUGGGAAGAACCUAUCGAUAUUGAAAAUAUAUUGAUACUGACGGUACCACAAGAGGAAGCACCGGCUAACUCCGUGCCAGCAGCCGCGGUAAUACGGGGGGUGCAAGCGUUAUUCGGAAUCAUUGGGCGUAAAGGGCGCGCAGGCGGCCUUGUAAGUCAGAUGUGAAAGCCCGGGGCUCAACCCCGGAAGUGCAUUUGAAACUAUGAGGCUUGAGUAUGGGAGAGGGAAGUGGAAUUCCUGGUGUAGCGGUGAAAUGCGUAGAUAUCAGGAGGAACACCGGUGGCGAAGGCGACUUCCUGGACCAAUACUGACGCUGAGGCGCGAAGGCGUGGGGAGCAAACAGGAUUAGAUACCCGUGUAGUC